AGAGUUUGAUCCUGGCUCAGGAUGAACGCUAGCGACAGGCUUAACACAUGCAAGUCGAGGGGCAGCGUGGGAGGUGGCAACACCACCCGACGGCGACCGUGCGGGGAAAGACGAGUCGGUAGGGGAUGGGCAUGCGGCGCAUUAGCUGGUUGGCGGGGCAACGGCCCACCAAGGCUACGAUGCGUAGGGGUUCUGAGAGGAAGGUCCCCCACACUGGUACUGAGACACGGACCAGACUCCUACGGGAGGCAGCAGUGAGGAAUAUUGGUCAAUGGGCGGGAGCCUGAACCAGCCAAGUCGCGUGCGGGAAGACGGCCCUACGGGUUGUAAACCGCUUUAGCCGGGGAGUAACGUGCGGCACGUGUGCCGCAGUGAGAGUACCCGGAGAAUAAGCAUCGGCUAACUCCGUGCCAGCAGCCGCGGUAAUACGGAGGAUGCGAGCGUUAUCCGGAUUCAUUGGGUUUAAAGGGUGCGCAGGCGGCGCUCCAAGUCAGCGGUCAAAUCCAUGGGCUCAACCCGUGGCCGCCGUUGAUACUGGGGUGCUUGAGUAGGUGCGACGGAGGCGGAAUGCGUGGUGUAGCGGUGAAAUGCAUAGAUAUCACGCAGAACCCCGAUUGCGAAGGCAGCCUCCGAGCCCCCGACUGACGCUGAGGCACGAAAGCGUGGGUAUCGAACAGGAUUAGAUACCCUGGUAGUCCACGCGGUAAACGAUGAAUACUGGUUAUCCGGCCCGACUGGGGGUUGGGUGACUCAACAACGGUGAAACUCAAAGGAAUUGACGGGGGCCCGCACAAGCGGAGGAACAUGUGGUUUAAUUCGAUGAUACGCGAGGAACCUUACCCGGGCUCAAACGCACAGAGACAGUCCUUGAAAGAGGAUCUCCCCUCGGGGCCCUGUGCGAGGUGCUGCAUGGUUGUCGUCAGCUCGUGCCGUGAGGUGUCGGCUUAAGUGCCAUAACGAGCGCAACCCCCAUCUCCAGUUGCCAUCGCGUAGUGGCGGGCACUCUGGAGAGACUGCCGGCGCAAGCUGUGAGGAAGGCGGGGAUGACGUCAAAUCAGCACGGCCCUUACGUCCGGGGCGACACACGUGUUACAAUGGCGGGGCACAGCGGGAAGCCAGGCGGCGACGAUUCGCUAGUAAUCGCGCAUCAGCCAUGGCGCGGUGAAUACGUUCCCGGGCCUUGUACACACCGCCCGUCAAGCCAUGGAAGCCUGGAGUGCCUGAAGUGCGUGACCGCGAGGAGCGCCCAAGGGUAAGACAGGUGACUGGGGCUAAGUCGUAACAAGGUAGCCGUACCGGAAGGUGCGGCUG
rnacentral:rRNA from 1 species